rnacentral:rRNA from 1 species
CCUACGGGGGGCAGCAGUCGGGAAUAUUGCGCAAUGGAGGAAACUCUGACGCAGUGACGCCGCGUAUAGGAAGAAGGUUUUCGGAUUGUAAACUAUUGUCAUUAGGGAAGAUAAAAGACUGUACCUAAGGAGGAAGCCCCGGCUAACUAUGUGCCAGCAGCCGCGGUAAUACGGAGGAUGCGAGCGUUAUCCGGAUUUAUUGGGUUUAAAGGGUGCGUAGGCGGACUGGAAAGUCAGCGGUAAAAUCGAGAGGCUCAACCUCUUUCCGCCGUUGAAACUGUCGGUCUUGAGUGGGCGAGAAGUAU